rnacentral:rRNA from 1 species
CGCUGGCGGCGUGCCUAACACAUGCAAGUCGAACGGACGAGGGGAGCUUGCUCCCCGAGUUAGUGGCGAACGGGUGAGUAACGCGUGAGAAACCUGCCUUUCAGUGGGGGACAACAGUUGGAAACGACUGCUAAUACCGCAUAAUGUGCCGGGAGGGCAUCCUCCUGGUACCAAAGCUUUAUGUGCUGAAAGAUGGCCUCGCGUCUGAUUAGCUAGUUGGUGAGGUAACGGCUCACCAAGGCGACGAUCAGUAGCCGGUCUGAGAGGAUGAACGGCCACAUUGGGACUGAGAUACGGCCCAGACUCCUACGGGAGGCAGCAGUGAGGAAUAUUGGGCAAUGGGCGCAAGCCUGACCCAGCAAUGCCGCGUGAAGGAAGACGGUUUUCGGAUUGUAAACUUCUUUUAAGAGGGACGAUAAUGACGGUACCUCUUGAAUAAGCCACGGCUAACUACGUG